UUGUUUAAAAAGUACUAUGGACUUAGUUGGAUCUCAUUUGCUUUUCUUUCAGAAAAUUAAGGGGGAAGUGUGUGUACAUAUAUAGAACAUGCAGUACACCAGCUAGGCUACGACCAGCUACCAGCUGAAGGAUCUACGUCGGAUGCAACCGAAAAAUGCCCUAUGCAAGCCAUCAACCAGAUCAUCAAUCAUUAGAUAUUCGCUACACGAUAACAUCACCAAGCUUUGUUUACUGGCAAUUAGAUGAUACAGUGCAUGGCCUGCACUAAUGUGAUGGCUGUCCUUUGCGGUCACUUGUGUGCGUAGCUUGGCUUCUGGUACCCUGCUCUUUCUGGUGGUGGCAGUGCUCGCAGCGUGAUCUGGCCGGGAUCAUCCAGUAGCCACAGCUAAAAAAAUAUCGGCUCC
rnacentral:lncRNA from 1 species